rnacentral:rRNA from 1 species
ACAGCCGUUGUUUCUUGGAUCUUUUCUCUACUUGGAUAACUGUGGUAAUUCUAGAGCUAAUACAUGCAACAAGACCUGACGCAAGAAUGGUCGCAUUUAUUAGAACAAAACCAACCGGUCUUCGGACCGUUCUUUGGUGACUCUGAAUAACUGAGCAAAUCACAUGGUCUCGCACCGGUGAUGUAUCUUUCAAGUGUCUGCCUUAUCAACUUUCGAUGGUAGUUUAUGUGCCUACCAUGGUUGUUACGGGUAACGGAGAAUCAGGGUUUGACUCCGGAGAGGGAGCCUGAGAAACGGCUACCACUUCUAAGGAAGGCAGCAGGCGCGCAAAUUACCCAUUCUCGGUACGAGGAGGUAGUGACGAAAAAUACCAAGUUGGGGCUCUUAUGAGUUUCGACAUUGGAAUGAGAACAAUCCAAAUCUUUUAACGAGGAACUAGUGGAGGGCAAGUCUGGUGCCAGCAGCCGCGGUAAUUCCAGCUCCGCAAGUGUAUAUCUAUAUUGCUGAGGUUAAAAAGCUCGUAGUUGGAUCUGCGUGUCUAGCACCUGGUGCGGUCUUUGAUCGCUACUGGGCUGCGACACAUUGUGUGUCGGUUGGCUGUUGAUGCUCUUAACCGGGUGUCAUCAGUGACUGACGAGUUUACUUUGAACAAACUAGAGUGCUCAAAACAGGCGUUUCGCUUGUAUAUUUCUGCAUGGAAUAAUAGAAUAGGACCUUGGUUCUAUUUUGUUGGUUUUCGGAACUGAGGUAAUGAUUAAGAGGGACUGACGGGGGCAUUCGUACUGCGACGUGAGAGGUGAAAUUCUUGGAUCGUCGCAAGACGCACUACUGCGAAGGCA